UCCGUCGAGUCGAACCAGCGACCUAUGGAUUACCGCACUCAUACCGCUACAGUCCCCCGCUCUGCCACCUGAGCUAUCGACGG
rnacentral:tRNA from 13 species